CACAUGCAAGUCGAGGGGCAGCAUCAUCAAAGCUUGCUUUGAUGGAUGGCGACCGGCGCACGGGUGAGUAACACGUAUCCAACCUGCCGAUAACACUGGGAUAGCCUUUCGAAAGAAAGAUUAAUACCGGAUGGCAUAAUUAUUCCGCAUGGGAUAAUUAUUAAAGAAUUUCGGUUGUCGAUGGGGAUGCGUUCCAUUAGGCAGUUGGCGGGGUAACGGCCCACCAAACCUACGAUGGAUAGGGGUUCUGAGAGGAAGGUCCCCCACAUUGGAACUGAGACACGGUCCAAACUCCUACGGGAGGCAGCAGUGAGGAAUAUUGGUCAAUGGACGAGAGUCUGAACCAGCCAAGUAGCGUGAAGGAUGACUGCCCUAUGGGUUGUAAACUUCUUUUAUACGGGAAUAAAGUUAGCCACGUGUGGCUUUUUGUAUGUACCGUAUGAAUAAGGAUCGGCUAACUCCGUGCCAGCAGCCGCGGUAAUACGGAGGAUCCGAGCGUUAUCCGGAUUUAUUGGGUUUAAAGGGAGCGUAGGCGGGUUGUUAAGUCAGUUGUGAAAGUUUGCGGCUCAACCGUAAAAUUGCAGUUGAUACUGGCGACCUUGAGUGCAACAGAGGUAGGCGGAAUUCGUGGUGUAGCGGUGAAAUGCUUAGAUAUCACGAAGAACUCCGAUUGCGAAGGCAGCUUACUGGAUUGUAACUGACGCUGAUGCUCGAAAGUGUGGGUAUCAAA
rnacentral:rRNA from 1 species